rnacentral:hammerhead_ribozyme from 1 species
ACCCAGAUGACGAGUCCCAAAUAGCACGAAAUGCGCGUCACAAUGGAU